UACGAAGGGGACUAGCGUUGUUCGGAAUCACUGGGCGUAAAGCGCACGUAGGCGGAUGUGUCAGUCAGGGGGUGAAAUCCCGGGGGCUCAACCUCGGAACUGCCUUUGAUACAGCACGUCUCGAGUCCGGAAGAGGUGGGUGGAAUUCCUAGUGUAGAGGUGAAAUUCGUAGAUAUUAGGAAGAACACCGGUGGCGAAGGCGGCCCACUGGUCCGGUACUGACGCUGAGGUGCGAAAGCGUGGGGAGCAAACAGG
rnacentral:rRNA from 1 species